rnacentral:rRNA from 1 species
UACGUAGGGGCGAGCGUUAUCCGGAAUUAUUGGGCGUAAAGGGUGUGCAGGCGGCUUGCCAAGUUCGCGGCGACAGCCAUCGGCUUAACUGAUUGGAGGACUGCGAAAACUGGUAAACUUGAGAGCGAGAGAGGGACAUGGAACUCCGGGUGGAGCAGUGAAAUGCGUAGAGAUCCGGAAGAACACCAAAGGCGAAGGCAAUGUCCUGGCCUCGCCUCUGACGCU